rnacentral:rRNA from 1 species
UACGGAGGGUGCGAGCGUUAAUCGGAAUUACUGGGCGUAAAGCGCAUGCAGGUGGUUCAUUAAGUCAGAUGUGAAAGCCCGGGGCUCAACCUCGGAACUGCAUUUGAAACUGGUGAACUAGAGUACUGUAGAGGGGGGUAGAAUUUCAGGUGUAGCGGUGAAAUGCGUAGAGAUCUGAAGGAAUACCAGUGGCGAAGGCGGCCCCCUGGACAGAUACUGACACUCAGAUGCGAAAGCGUGGGGAGCAAACAGGAUUAGAUACCCCGGUAGUCC